AUGCGGUGGGGAAUGUAUAAUUUUUACCAAGUUUUUAGCCCAAUUUUUUGUAGGGGAGAUACGGCGCAGGCUCGUAUGGGCUGUGUUUUUUUUAAUGUCUUCUCAUGGGCUGUUGUCUUUUCCUGUUUUUAUAUGGGCUGCUGCGUUCCAUUUUUUGUUGUUUUUCUUUUCUUUUUUCUGUUUCAUUAUUAUUUGUUUUCAAUUAUGAACUAUUUUAAAUUCAUGUUUUUUGGUAUUUUAUUUAUAUUUUCUAGUUCCUUCUUUUCCAUUUUUAUUUUUCUUCUUUAUUUAGCUGUUUUAAAUUCUUGA
rnacentral:rRNA from 1 species